CUGGCGGCGUGCUUCAGGCAUGCAAGUCGAACGGACCUUCGGGUCAGUGGCGGACGGGUGAGUAACACGUAAGCAACCUGCCCAGAAGUGGGGAAUAACCCACCGAAAGGUGAGCUAAUACCGCAUGUGAUGGAUCUUCCCUGGAGGGUCCAUUAAAGGCUUCGGUCGCUUCUGGAGGGGCUUGCGCUCGAUUAGCUAGUUGGUGGGGUAACGGCCUACCAAGGCAACGAUCGAUAGCUGGUCUGAGAGGACGGUCAGCCACACGGGGACUGAGAUACGGCCCCGACUCCUACGGGAGGCAGCAGCUAGGAAUCUUGGGAAUGGGCGAAAGCCUGACCCAGCAACGCCGCGUGGGCGAUGAAGGCCUUAGGGUCGUAAAGCCCUUUUAUGGGGGACGAUGAUGACGGUACCCCAUGAAUAAGCCACGGCUAACUACG
rnacentral:rRNA from 1 species